rnacentral:pre_miRNA from 1 species
GUAGUACUCACUCCAUCCCAUAUUAAGUGCCAAAAUAUUACAUGUAUCUAGAUGCUUUUUAGGUAUAGAUACAUCUAUAUUUGGGUAAAUUUGAGUCACUUAAUAUGGGAUGGAGGGAGUACAAC